rnacentral:rRNA from 1 species
UCCUACGGGAGGCAGCAGUGGGGAAUUUUAGACAAUGGGGGAAACCCUGAUCUAGCCAUGCCGCGUGAGUGAUGAAGGCCCUAGGGUCGUAAAGCUCUUUCGCCAGGGAUGAUAAUGACAGUACCUGGUAAAGAAACCCCGGCUAACUCCGUGCCAGCAGCCGCGGUAAUACGGAGGGGGUUAGCGUUGUUCGGAAUUACUGGGCGUAAAGCGCGCGUAGGCGGAUUAGAAAGUUGGGGGUGAAAUCCCGGGGCUCAACCCCGGAACUGCCUCCAAAACUACUAGUCUAGAGUUCGAGAGAGGUGAGUGGAAUUCCGAGUGUAGAGGUGAAAUUCGUAGAUAUUAUGUAGAACACCAGUUGCGAAGGCGGCUUUCUGGGAUAACACUGACGCUGAGGUGCGAAAGUAUGGGUAGCGAAGAGGAUUAGAUACCCUCGUAGUCCAUACCGUAAACGAUGAUUGUUAGAUGUUGGAAAUUUAUUUUCAGUAUCACAGCUAACGCGUUAAACAAUCCGCCUGGGGAGUACGACCGCAAGGUUAAAACUCA